rnacentral:rRNA from 1 species
ACCCGCCGAACUUAAGCAUAUCAGUAAGCGGAGGAAAAGAAACUAACUAGGAUUCCCCGAGUAACGGCGAGCGAAAGGGGAGAAGCCCAGCGCCGAAGCCCGCGGCCUCCGGUCGCAGUGCAAUGUGGCGUUUCGGCGGCGUCUCGCCCCGGCCGCUCUGGCACGAGUAUCUCUGAACGGGUCUGCCCGCAGCGGGUGUCAGGCCUCUACUUGCCGAGCGAGUGGCCGGCGGCACGGCGCCGUCGCGGAGUCGGGUUGCUUGAGAGUGCAGCCCAAAGUGGGUGGUAAGCUCCAUCUAAGGCUAAAUACCUAGUGCAAGACCGAUAGCAAACAAGUACCGUGAGGGAAAGUUGCAAAGAACUUUGAAAAGAGAGUUCAAGAGUACGUGAAACCGUUCAGAGGCAAACGGACGGAACUGGGCGAGUUCGCCGCCGCCACUCAGCCGGAGUGGGCCCGCUCGUACGCGGGCUCGCCGGUGCACUUGGCGGCGGCGGAGCGCGACGACCGCCUGUCGGGUCGUCGGAAGCCCGGCGGCAAGGUGGCGACGCGCCUGGCGCGUCGUGUUAGAGGCCGCCGCGGCGUUGGCAGACUCGACGGGCGAGGAGCGCCUGCGGUGCACUCCCCGCGCGGGAGCGGCGCGUGCGGUGGGCUCGCGGACGCCGGCGGCGAACUGCUCGCAGUUUGUCUGUCGCGCGCGCCGCUUGUCGCGCCGCGCGCCGCCACGGGGCACCGAGGGUCCGGGUCGCGUGGUUCCUGGCACUCCGUCCGACCCGUCUUGAAACACGGACCAAGGAGUUGAGCACGCGCGCGAGUCGAUGGGCUCCUGAGAACCCCAGUGGCGCAGCUAAGGCAAAACGGGCGUGAUCCGGCACUGGCGUGUCGGCGCAACGCCGGCCCGCAGCCGACUCGGCGCGAGUGGCUGCGGCGCGAGAGCGUGCGUGCUCAGACCCGAAAGGUGGUGAACUAUGCUUGAGCAGGGCGAAGCCAGAGGAAACUCUGGUGGAGGCUCGCAGCGAUCCUGACGUGCAAAUCGGUCGUCAAACUUGAGCAUAGGGGCGAAAGACUAAUCGAACCGCCUAGUAGCUGGUUCCCUCCGAAGUUUCCCUCAGGAUAGCUAGCACUUGGGAGAUACGGUUUUAUCCGGUAAAGCGAAUGAUUAGAGGCAUUGGGGACGAAACGUCCUCAACCUAUUCUCAAACUUUAAAUGGGUAAGAGGCGCGACCCGUCCUGACCGGGGCCGCGUGCUCGAACGGCGAGUGCUCAGUGGGCCGUUUUUGGUAAGCAGAACUGGCGCUGUGGGAUGAACCAAACGUGCGGUUAGGGUGCCUAACGCACGCUCAUGAGAGACCACAAAAGGUGUUGGUUGAUAUAGACAGCAGGACGGUGGCCAUGGAAGUCGGAAUCCGCUAAGGAGUGUGUAACAACUCACCUGCCGAAUCAACUAGCCCUGAAAAUGGAUGGCGCUGGAGCGUGCGACCCAUACCGCACCGUCGGGGCAACGCGUGCGAAAUGCCAGGCCCCGACGAGUAGGAGGGCGUGUCGGUGGCGCUGAAGCGUAGUGCGCGAGCACGCGUGGAGCCGCCUUCAGUGCAGAUCUUGGUGGUAGUAGCAAGUAUACAAAUGAGAACUUUGUAGACCGAAGUGGAGAAGGGUUCCAUGUGAACAGCAGUUGGACAUGGGUCAGUCGGCCCUAAGAGAUCGGAGAACUCCGUUCUGAACGGGG